UCAGGUCGCAAUCACGCACUGACUUACCAGCUGUACUGCUAUGGAAGACUUUGAGUUGGUUUAUACCGAAAAUGAUGAGACUUUCGACACAUUUAAUGACCUUAGCAAGGAUGAAGAUACUGACAGUGAUACACAAAGCUCUGACAUAGAUGCAGAUAACUUGAAUAAACAGACAAUUCAGUAACAUAGGAGCUAUAGAUAUUUCAGAAGUUCUUAUUCCAG
rnacentral:lncRNA from 1 species